UACGAAGGGGGCUAGCGUUGCUCGGAAUUACUGGGCGUAAAGGGCGCGUAGGCGGAUAUUUAAGUCGGGGGUGAAAGCCCGGGGCUCAACCUCGGAAUUGCCUUCGAUACUGGAUAUCUUGAGUUCGGGAGAGGUGAGUGGAAUGCCGAGUGUAGAGGUGAAAUUCGUAGAUAUUCGCAAGAACACCAGUGGCGAAGGCGGCUCACUGGCCCGAUACUGACGCUGAGGUGCGAAAGCGUGGGGAGCAAACAGG
rnacentral:rRNA from 1 species